GUUUCUGCUCCUAGGUCGAGUCUGCCAGACUUUCUGGUUUACGCGUCUGUUUGUGUUUCUUGUGUGUUUAAUUCUUAGUAUCACCAAUCCUCUGUGGGUAAUGACCCCUAUUUGCCGUUUACUACAUUGAUAUAAUUGAUUUGAUAAUAGGGUAUCUUUGUAAGUGCUUUUGCGCCUAUCAGCUAUCACCGUCGGCGGAGGAUGGAGAGUAUACAUAACUUGACUACUAUUGUUACUCUAAUCAUUCUCAUCAAUACCAUCGAUUGACAAUGAAAUAACUAAAAGAUUCCCCCAUACGUAAACUAAGAUCUUUAUGUAGCAGACCUAUAUGACCAAAUACGUAGUUGGUCUCCGAUUGCAACCUUCACCUGUAACG
rnacentral:lncRNA from 1 species